GAUGAACGCUGGCGGCGUGCCUAAUACAUGCAAGUCGAGCGAACGGACGAGAAGCUUGCUUCUCUGAUGUUAGCGGCGGACGGGUGAGUAACACGUGGAUAACCUACCUAUAAGACUGGGAUAACUUCGGGAAACCGGAGCUAAUACCGGAUAAUAUUUUGAACCGCAUGGUUCAAAAGUGAAAGACGGUCCUGCUGUCACUUAUAGAUGGAUCUGCGCUGCAUUAGCUAGUUGGUAAGGUAACGGCUUACCAAGGCAACGAUGCAUAGCCGACCUGAGAGGGUGAUCGGCCACACUGGAACUGAGACACGGUCCAGACUCCUACGGGAGGCAGCAGUAGGGAAUCUUCCGCAAUGGGCGAAAGCCUGACGGAGCAACGCCGCGUGAGUGAUGAAGGUCUUCGGAUCGUAAAACUCUGUUAUUAGGGAAGAACAUAUGUGUAAGUAACUGUGCACAUCUUGACGGUACCUAAUCAGAAAGCCACGGCUAACUACGUG
rnacentral:rRNA from 1 species